UCAUCGGCCUCAGAUUGGUAGGACUACCCGCUGAACUUAAGCAUAUCAAUAAGCGGAGGAAAAGAAACUAACAAGGAUUCCCCUAGUAACGGCGAGUGAAGAGGGAAGAGCCCAAGAUUGAAAGCUGGCGUCUUCGGCGUCCGCAUUGUAAUCUCAAGAAGUGUUUUCCGCUUCGGACCAUGCCUAAGUCCCUUGGAAAAGGGCAUCAUAGAGGGUGAUAAUCCCGUACAUGGCAUGGAGCGCCCGUAGCUUUGUGAUACGCUUUCUAAGAGUCGAGUUGUUUGGGAAUGCAGCUCAAAAUGGGUGGUAAAUGCCAUCUAAGGCUAAAUAUUGGGGAGAGACCGAUAGCGAACAAGUACAGUGAUGGAAAGAUGAAAAGAACUUUGAAAAGAGAGUUAAACAGUACGUGAAAUUGCCAAAAGGGAAGGGUAGGAGGUCAGAGAUGCGUCUUGGGAUUCAGCCUUGCUUUUGCCUGGUGUUUUUCCCAAGCUGCAGGCCAACGUCGGUUUUGGGCACUGGAGAAGGGUAGGAGGAACGUGGCACCUCUCGGGGUGUGUUAUAGCCUCCUACUGGAUACAGCGACCGAGACCGAGGAACGCAGCGUACUCGUAAGAGCGGGCCUUUUGGCACCUUUACGCUUAGGGCGUUGGCAUAAUGGCCCUCUACCACCCGUCUUGAAACACGGAC
rnacentral:rRNA from 1 species